rnacentral:rRNA from 1 species
AGAGUUUGAUCAUGGCUCAGGACGAACGCUGGCGGCGUGCUUACACAUGCAAGUCGAGCGGAAAGGCCCUUUCGGGGGUACUCGAGCGGCGAACGGGUGAGUAACACGUGAGUAAUCUGCCCUUUCACUUUGGGAUAACUACCGGAAACGGUGGCUAAUACCGGAUACGACAGCUCCAGGCAUCUGGUGGUUGUGGAAAGUUUUUUCGGUGGGGGAUGUGCUCGCGGCCUAUCAGCUUGUUGGUGGGGUAAUGGCCUACCAAGGCUUCGACGGGUAGCCGGCCUGAGAGGGUGACCGGCCACACUGGGACUGAGACACGGCCCAGACUCCUACGGGAGGCAGCAGUGGGGAAUAUUGGACAAUGGGCGGAAGCCUGAUCCAGCAACGCCGCGUGAGGGAUGACGGCCUUCGGGUUGUAAACCUCUUUCAGUACCGACGAAGCGCCGGUAAUGGUGGUGACGGUAGGUACAGAAGAAGCACCGGCCAACUACGUGCCAGCAGCCGCGGUAAUACGUAGGGUGCGAGCGUUGUCCGGAAUUAUUGGGCGUAAAGGGCUCGUAGGCGGUUUGUCGCGUCGGGAGUGAAAACACCGGGCUUAACUCGGUGCUUGCUUUCGAUACGGGCAGACUAGAGGCAUGCAGGGGAGAACGGAAUUCCUGGUGUAGCGGUGAAAUGCGCAGAUAUCAGGAGGAACACCGGUGGCGAAGGCGGUUCUCUGGGCAUGUCCUGACGCUGAGGAGCGAAAGUGUGGGGAGCGAACAGGAUUAGAUACCCUGGUAGUCCACACCGUAAACGUUGGGCGCUAGGUGUGGGGCCUAUUCCAUGGGUUCCGUGCCGCAGCUAACGCAUUAAGCGCCCCGCCUGGGGAGUACGGCCGCAAGGCUAAAACUCAAAUGAAUUGACGG